rnacentral:lncRNA from 1 species
GAACAGACUUCUGCCCUUCCUGCAGGGAGCCAGCCCAAGUAUGCAUCUAGAACACAUAGCCAUAGGAAAACGACGGAGAUUAGAAUAGAGGUAUAUCUAUAUUACAAAGUAAUAUAUUUCAUUAUUCGUAAGGCAUAUAUGGUUCUUCAAUAAAGGCAGGGUAGGCAUCAUUUGUGUUUAUAAUUUGCCGGGUUAGGAUUAUUUUUCUACAUAGACUGGGACCAUGUACAGUUUAAACUAUAUAUUUUAACUUCGAGGCUGUAAAAUGUAACAUUGUUUAGAAGUCAUAGUAGACCUGCAUAAAGUGAAUGAACACCAGUGUGUCACUUGCAGUUUCAUGUAUUACAGACCAAAUACAGGCAUUUGAAAUGUUUUCUAAGACUGAUAACAAAAUAGUGGUAGGUUUGAAAGUCAAUCGCUGAUCUUUUUCUAUAAAAGGGGAGGGGCUUAUAUAUACCAGGAAAACAUUAAACCUUCAAAAAAUAGUUCGCUGAUAGGUUGCUGUCUCAUUUAUGUAUAUAUAGUAUUAGAAAAAUAUAUAAGGGUUCCGCGGAACACAGUGUCUCGCCUACUUUUGCUGUUAAUUGCAGGAUCGACAAAAAGGAGGGAAAAAAUGAUUAAAAAAUCCACUUGAUUCUAUCUUUAUAUUGUGAGCAGCUUCUGUCCAAGUUUGGUAUAAACCCAGGAUAGUUAAUGAAUCAAAUAAAUAUUGAAAUAUAAAAACUUGAACUGCAGACUGUAUGUAAUGUUAACUGACAGAAACACUAAGUCUAUUUAUAAGUAAAAUACCGAAAAAAAUGGAUUUUUUUUUAACAAAAUUUACUUCUAUAUUCUAUGUACUAUCUUAUGAUCCUGAGCUGCUGUAUUUUGAAGCUUCUGUCCAAGUUUGGUAGAAAUCAAGGCCAAUUUAAGAAAGUAAUUAAUAUUUUAAAAACUUUGACCACAAAAUAUUUGUGGACGACAACGAUGCCACCGACAGAAUGUAGGAUCACUAUGUCUCGAUUUUUCAACAAAAGUCGAAGGCUCAAUAAAAAUGAUAUACAAUGUACUUCACCUACAGUGUACACAGUAGCGGAUCCAGAGAGGGGCGUAGAGGGCGUACGCCCCCCUUUUUUGAUUGGACUUUUUUUUUCUUUUUUUUUUUGAAAAAUGAUUAAUCAGACUACUAGACUUUGUGACCAUUGCCAUUUCCCGUGUAAUCUUUAUGCGACAAUUCUUUACUUAAUAAAGAUAUUUUUCGCUGGUAUUUAAUGAUCGUGUCAAAAGAAAAAUCACCAAAAUCCUGAACUCCGAGGAAAAUACAAAACGGAAAGUCCAUUAUCAAAUGGCAAAAUCAAAUUAUAAAACACAACAAACGAAUGGACAACUGUCAUAUUCCUGACUUGGUACAGGCAAUGUAGAAAAUGGUGAAUUGAACCUAUUUUUUUUUUUAGCGCUAAGCCUUUAAUUUGUAUGACAGUCGCAUCAAAACAUGGGAUUCGCUAUGGUGGUGUUGACCAGUUCGUCGAAAAACGUCACCCAGCCGUUUUGAAAUUCAAAUUACAGUAACACAUUGCAUAGUCUGAGCAUAACAAUCACGUCACCUUCAAAGCGAUACAGGAUUGAACAAGAACGUAUUGACUUCUAUUUCACAACUCCACCAAACAGAAAGGUUUACUCUGUUACACUCUCCGAUGAUGAAAAAGUUCCAUUGGUUUGAGGAGGCAGUCUGAGAUAUUUGACUCUGAUUUUUGCCUUAAACAAAAAUUCUGGCCGUAUCUGGAUUAAAAAAAAUAAUGUUGUCUACUUUUUCGCUAUUAGAAACGAAAAUUUCCAACAGAAUAAUAUAGCCGAUAGCAUUAAUGAACAUGAUGAAUAACAAACGGGCGUAUUUUUUGGGGCCGGGCGUUUGAAUGUCUGUUUCGCUGAACUGAUAUAUUGAAUACUUUUUUCAGGACCAGGGCUGCAAUCUGCCGACUGGAUGGGGCCUUUAUGUCUCUAUUUGUCGACCGUCAUUCAUAAAUUCGCUGUCAUUACAAACUCAUUCGUAGCCUUUUGGUUGAUCUUCCCUUAAUUUUGUUGGGUGAAACAUAUAUCAACCAAACAUUUGGAUAAAAAUGCUUGUUUGUCUUUUUUUAUCUCAGAAUCAAAAAUGUCCAACUCUUACACUAUACAGCAACAUUAAAAUAUACAUGUCCCACGUCAGGAACCGUUUAAAAAAGUACAUUUAACACUUAUUUUAUGUUUUUUAGCCCGAAAAAGGUCUCAAAAAUUCCCCACCCCACCCCCUUUUCUAAAUUUCUGGAUCCGCCCCUGGUACAUGUACAUGUCAGUAUAAAACCUUGAAUGAGUAAUAAAACAACAAGGCUGUAUACAACUAUCAAGUCAAUUUACAGAAUUUAAGAAUGAACCUAAACCAACUUUGUAUGGCAAUCAUUAAACAAGCCCCCCCCCUUCAUAAAAAAAGAAUAAGAAGAAUUAGGAAAGAAAAAGAAAAGAUAAUUGAAUUCAAAGAUAUAUAAGACUUUUUUUAUUAGUUGUCAGUAACUGUCAGUACUCUCAGAUCAGUAAUUAGUCUUUUUGUUGUUGGGAUAUACAGUCAUGUCCUCUCUGUGUCAGGAGCCUGUAAUUCAGUGGAUGUUGUUUGUUAAUUUGUUAAAUAUUUGUUUUUCGUUCAUUUUUUGUACAUAAAUUAGGCCAUCAGUUUUCUCUUUUGAAUUGUUUUACAUUUGUCAAUGGGACCUUCUAUAGCUUACUAUGUGGUAUGGGCUUUGCUCAUUGUUGAAGGCUGUACGAUGACCUAUAGUUGUUAAUUUCUAUGAUAUUUUGUCUUUUCUGGAGAGUUGUCUUAUUGGAAAUCAUACCAGAUCUUCUAUUUUUAUAUUCAUUCCUGCUUUAUUUUAUAGUUUCUCUUGUUUUGUUCACAUGUCUAUGACAGUAGUAGAUGGGCAUUAUGUUUUCUAGUCAGUCACAUUAAUUUGAAACUGAUUAAUUAACACAUAUAGAAAUAAGAAGAUGAGAUAUGAUUUCCAAUGAGACAUCUCUCCACCAGAGACUAAAUGAUGCAGAAAGUACAUAUUAUGGUGUUAUCAUUUAAACAAAUCCAUUAGGAGUCUGGCAUCCAAUGAAAGUUGUCCAUAAUUAUUAACCAUGCUGAAAGAUUCAAGCUAUGUUGUUCCUAUGCAAAUCAAAUUGUUUUUUCAAUUUAUUUUUAAAGGUAAUGUGCAUGAACUUAUGGAAGUAUCCUUCAUACAAAAGUGGCUUAGAUAUACAUUUGUAGCAGCAGUUGAUAAAAGACUGGCUGAGCCACCUCUACUAGCAAAUCAGGCAAACAGACAAGAAAAGGAGAC